AGGUCAAACUCAGGUCACAGAGGUCAAACUCAGGUCACAUAGGUCACAACAGGUCAAGCACGGAUCAGAGACAUCAUAGCAGGUUAGACUCAGGUCAUGAGGUCAUAUCAGGUCAGGUACGGGUCAAAGACACCAUAGCAGGUAAGACACGGGUCACAGAGGUCACAACAG